CCCCUCCGGUUAAGUCUCCCCCACCACCUUAUUACUAUCAUUCACCGCCGCCGCCGGUGAAAUCCCCUCCCCCUCCUUAUGUAUACCAGUCUCCUCCUCCUCCGGUGAAGUCUCCACCACCACCUUAUUACUACCACUCUCCGCCACCACCUGUGAAGUCUCCUCCCCCUCCUUAUGUAUACAACUCUCCUCCUCCUCCGGUGAAGUCUCCUCCACCACCGUAUUAUUACCACUCUCCUCCACCACCAGUAAAAUCUCCUCCUCCUCCUUACUAUUAUCAUUCUCCACCACCUCCGGUGAAAUCUCCGCCACCACCAUAUUACUAUCACUCACCACCUCCUCCAGUGAAGUCUCCCCCACCACCAUAUUACUACCAUUCUCCACCACCACCGGUUAAAUCUCCACCACCACCUUACUACUAUCAUUCUCCACCUCCUCCAUUGAAGUCUCCUCCACCACCAUACUACUAUCACUCUCCUCCUCCUCCAUCCAAGUCUCCACCACCACCAUACUACUACUACUACUCUCCUCCUCCUCCAGUCAAGUCUCCUCCACCACCGUACUACUACCACUCUCCUCCUCCUCCGGUCAAGUCUCCUCCACCACCGUACUACUACCACUCUCCUCCUCCUCCGGUAAAGUCUCCACCACCACCGUACUACUACCACUCUCCUCCUCCUCCGGUUAAAUCUCCACCACCACCUUACUACUACCACUCUCCUCCUCCUCCGGUUAAAUCACCACCACCGCCAUACUAUUAUCACUCUCCACCUCCUCCAGUGAAAUCACCACCCCCACCUUAUUAUUACUCAUCCCCACCACCACCAAAGUCUUAUCCUCCACCAUACUACUACUCAUCUCCACCGCCACCACCAAAGUCGUACUCGCCACCGUACUACUACUCAUCGCCACCACCUCCGAUGUCAUACCCUCAACCUCACCCACAGCCACAUCCACUUGUCUUCAAAGUUGUUGGUAAAGUGUAUUGUUACAGAUGUUAUGACUGGACUUAUCCUAAAAAGUCCCACGAUAAGAAGCAUCUCAAAGGUAACUAUGUCUUCCACGUGUUCAAUAAUUAAUGUUUUAAUCUUAGCUAACUUAAUUACAGAAAAUAUGAUCCUGAUGAUUAUAGAAUGAUUAAAGGCUUAUAGGAUUUAAAUAAACUAGCAUAUGUGUAUUGUGAAGUGGUAGUUGCAAGUCUGGAUUAUUUAUUUAGUGGAGAAAAGAAAACGAUCAAGUCAAGAAAAAAACAAAAAUCUGUUAUUGACUAAAACAAUCGAGAGAGAUAGAACAAGCAAAAUCGAUUUAAAUGACAUAAAAUGAUACUUUAAAUUUAAAUAAUUUGUUGUCAUAUAGGUGCUGUGGUGGAAGUGACGUGCAAGGCCGGUGACAAGACAGUGAAGGCAUACGGGAAGACCAAAAUCAACGGUAAAUACGCAAUAACCGUUAAGGGAUACAACUACCGUAAAUACGGUGGCGAAGUUUGCACAGCCAAACUCCACUCGCCACCUAAGGGAUCGCCGUGUAACAUUCCUACAAGUUACCAUUUGGGUAACAAAGGUGCUAAACUCCAUGUGAAAUCAAAGACAAAGUACGAGGUUGUGCUUUAUGCUAAGUCCUUUGCUUAUGCACCUAAGAAACCUUACGGAGAAUGCCACAAGCCGGCUCCUUACCAUCCUCCUUACUACUACAAGUCUCCACCACCACCUUCUCCGGUUUACUACUACAAGUCUCCACCACCACCAACUCCAACUUAUGUCUAUAAAUCACCGCCUCCACCAACCCCAGCGUAUGUCUACAAAUCGCCUCCUCCUCCUACCCCAACAUACGUCUAUAAAUCUCCUCCACCACCAACUCCGACUUACGUCUACAAAUCACCACCACCGCCUACUCCAACGUAUGUGUAUAAGUCUCCGCCUCCACCAACCCCUACGUAUGUCUACAAGUCGCCCCCACCACCAACUCCAACCUAUGUUUACAAAUCACCGCCUCCUCCUACUCCGACCUACGUCUACAAGUCGCCGCCUCCUCCUACCCCAACUUAUGUUUACAAGUCGCCACCACCUCCAACACACACUCCUACACCAUACUACUACCAUUCUCCACCACCACCAGUUAAAUCUCCUCCACCUCCAUAUUAUUACCAUUCGCCACCACCACCCGUAAAAUCUCCACCACCGCCAUAUUAUUAUCAUUCACCACCCCCUCCGGUGAAAUCUCCUCCUCCUCCUUACUACUACCACUCUCCACCCCCUCCGGUGAAGUCUCCUCCUCCACCUUACUACUACCAGUCACCACCCCCUCCCGUAAAGUCACCACCACCACCAUAUUAUUACCAUUCACCACCUCCUCCGGUCAAAUCUCCUCCUCCACCCUACUAUUACCAUUCACCUCCUCCACCGAUGAAAUCUCCACCACCACCAUACUACUACCACUCACCACCUCCUCCAGUCAAAUCUCCUCCUCCACCGUACUAUUACCAUUCACCUCCUCUACCGGUGAAAUCUCCACCACCACCAUACUACUACCAUUCA
rnacentral:lncRNA from 1 species